GCUUUUUUCGCUUGAAUUUUUGCAUUUCUCUACUGAUUGCUUCGACAAUGCAACAUUAAAAGUUACUAACGGUGGGGCCCAGGGGCCGUAUUACAGAAACUUCCUAUCUUAAGUCCUAAGUUAAGAUAGGAGAAGUGGAGAUAGGAUUUUUCUCAAUUUGGUAUUACAGAAACAUAUCCUAUCUUAAUUUAGGAAUCCUAUCUUAUCUCAGGUUAAGAUAUCCUAAGUAGGCGAUCUAGCAUCGACAUUCAGCUUUUAUGUCUGUUACCUAGCAACUGAUGAAACUUGUUGUCGGAUCACGUCACUUCACAGCUGACAACUGUCAUAAUCCUAAAAUAUCCAAAAACAACUGCUAGCUAUGGAUGGGAUUGGGAAAAUACAACGUCGUGCCGAAAAUUUUAAAGCGGACGAAAUAGAAAAGUUGGUGAGUUUAGUAGAAAGCUCAAAGGAAAUAUUGUAUGGGAAAUUUUUUUUGAGUCUGACCAAAGAAAAUAAAGACCAAGAAUGGCUGAAAAUAGCCGAAAAGGUGAGCACCGUAUCAGGGAUCAGUAGAAACGUUGAAAACGUCAAGAAAAAAAUUACCACACUCACAAGUGUCGUUAAGAAAAAAGCAACGUUAAUUUGUAAAGACCGGAGAAUUACCGGUGGUGGCAACUCUUCCGCUACCCCCCUGACACCGGCGGAGGACCGGAUUGUGGGACUCCUCAGCAAGGCUGACUACGAGGGCAUCGAUGGAGGCUUUGAGACUGGGUUGCCAGUGGACUUCUUGGAGACCACAACUUCAGUCAGUGAAGUUGUUGAAGUCGAUGCUACACGACCGCCUCCUGAAAAGAAAACACGUCCGCUGAAGUCAUCACCAGAAACCCUUGCUCUGCUAGAAAUUGAGAGGGAGAAGCUUCAAUUAUAGAGAGAGUCGCCAUAGAAAGAGAGCGACUCCUCCUUGAGAGGGAAACAUUUGAAUGGGAGAAGAGUAGGGCCAGAGUGUGCAAAAAAUGUUUAACUGAAAUAUAAAUGAAU
rnacentral:lncRNA from 1 species